rnacentral:tRNA from 1 species
GCCUUUGGUGUAGUGGUCAGCACUCUCGACACGUAUUCGAGAGGUCCAUGGUUCGAGUCCCGGCAAGGGCA